GAUGGCGCCGGCGCAAUCGACGGCGGCGGAAGGCGGCGGAGCAGGGCGGCGGCGCAGGCUUCGGCGGCGGAGCAGAGGCGGCGGAGCAGGGCGGCGGCGCAGGCUUCGGCGGCGGAGCAGGGCGGCGGCGCAAGCGAAGGCGGCGGCGGAGCAGGGCAGCGGCAGAGGCUACGCCGGCUGAAGGCGGUGGCGCCGGAGCUCCUAGCGACGGCACAGGCGACCGGCGGCGAGUACGACCUGGCGCGACGGCAAGGCGACGAUGGAAUCACCUUCUUCCAUCCCCACGCUGAAGUGUGCUUGCGGUGCCUCUGCCACUGUGCAGAUUUCGAACACACCAAGGAUUCCUCGACGCCGGUGGCUACAAUGCGGCAAUUCGGCUCAACAUAUGCAUACAACAGUACAGACAUACAUGAGCAACAUUACUGGUUCAUAGCAGCCUUACUAGCAAAAUACUUAAGAGAUGGGGCAGGCUACAUUGUCACUGCAAAUAGGUUACUACAAGUUCACAGGCACACGGGAAGGUACUCACGGUUUGGAAGCAACCCGUACAAGGGAUUCGCCCAAAUACAUUGCCAACGCGGUGGGGAUGCAGGCGUAGGCCCCUGCGCACUCAUCCUCCCAUCAGUGGAGGUCCUCCCCUUUGGCCGUCGUAGCCUCCGCCGCCGCCCUGCUCCGCUGCCGCCCUGCUCCGCCGCCGCCUUCGCCUGCGCCACCGCCCUGCUCCGGCACCGAAGCCUGCGCCGCCGCCCUGCUCCGCCGCCGUUGAUUGCGCCGGCGCCGUCGCCUGCGCCGCCUCCAAGAAGCUAG
rnacentral:lncRNA from 1 species